ACAGAACAGACGGCUGGGUCAGCUCCCCAAGGAGAAGCCCUGAGCUGCCCAACAGGUCCCUCUUAGGCCCCACACUUCAGAGGCAGGGCUGCCACGCAUGCCUCCUGGAUCACCUCUUGGUGUCCCAUGGCCCCUGUGGGGCUCCUACCUGGCACAUCCUCACCUCCAGGCUCCCCCGGCUCCAACUCAGCAGGGAGGUGGGAGGUUGACGGGAGCAGGCAGGCAUGGGAGGGCUCAGCCGGGGUAUGAGGGGUGGGCAGAGUCCCCCCACCUGGCUCACCCUUUCUCUUCCUCUCCUCCUCUGGGCACCUUCUUUGACUCCCACAGGCUCCUAGCUCAGACCUCUCCACUCUUCCUGGCUUUCCUUCAGGGAGGUCAGGAAAGUCAGGGACCCGUGGAUAAAGACCAGGAGAACACAAUGAGCAGAAAAGCGUAGGCGAGCAGCUGGCAGCCACCAUCGCAUUUGCUCCCGGAAGGCAAGAGGAGGCAGAGAAAAUUCCAGAACCCAUUUAAGCGUCUGGGACCCUGAGUCUAGAACCUGGAGAUUUGGUCUUCUGGAAACGACAUCAGAGAGAGACUGCCCUUGAACCCCAUUGGAAGAGACCCUACCAAGUUCUUCUCACCACCCACACGGCAGUAAAACUUCAAGGCCUCAAACUUUGGAUUCACAUCUCAUAAGUCAAAAGGGCCCCUCCAGGCUCCUGGAACCGUAUACGUGUUGGAGACCUCAACGGAAAGCUGACAAGGGAGGUUUUUCUUCAGAUGCAGGUGGGAUCCUGGAUGUGGGCGGCUUUCCCAAGGUCACAAAUCCAGACUUCUCUGUCUUCACGAAAGCCUUUUAUUUUUUCCUUUUUUUAUUUCCUGUUGUCUUAGUCCCUUCCCUUUCCUUACAGGAGAAUCCACUGGACCAUAAUCUGUGGAUGGCUUUAGUACAGGCUUAUGCUCUAGCAAGAAACCAGAUAAAUUGUUGAGUCUGUGGGCUAAUGCCCCCCAAAUGAGGAAACAAUUCCACUGAUGCCAGUGCCUCUCCAUAUUCCGAAUAAGUCACCCUGGGCC